rfam:Neurospora crassa OR74A mitochondrion, complete genome.
GGGGUUUUAGUAUAAUGGCAAUACUUAUGACUUUUAAUCAUCCAGAUGUUGGUUCGAAUCCGGCAAAUCCCA